rnacentral:rRNA from 1 species
UACGAAGGGGGCUAGCGUUGCUCGGAAUCAUUGGGCGUAAAGCGUACGCAGGCUGUUCGUUAAGUCGGGUGUGAAAGCCCGGGGCUCAACCCCGGAACUGCGCCCGAAACUGGCGAGCUUGAGUGCGGGAGAGGGAAGCGGAAUUCCUGGUGUAGAGGUGAAAUUCGUAGAUAUCAGGAGGAACACCGGUGGCGAAAGCGGCUUCCUGGCCCGACACUGACGCUCAUGUACGAAAGCGUGGGGAGCAAACAGG